rnacentral:lncRNA from 1 species
UUUUUUUAACCUAAUCCGGAAUAUGCCUGGUUUUCUUCAGGAUUUGGUUGAAAAUGAGAUACUCGAUUCUGAUUGGUCCACAUUUCAAAAAUCAACCGAACUCAGUCGCGAAAAUUUGCCUAUGAAUACCUAACAGACAGGUAUGUCGAUCUGUUUUGUUGUCAGUCCGGAGGAGACAUCGAACCGAACUAGGCUGCUGGUAAUCUAAUAAUAGCCCAUUCUUGUCACCGGAAUGCGGCAGCAAAAAAAAUCACUCAGAUCGUCCAUUAGCUUUACUUGAUUUGGGGAUGAUGAAAUUGACGAUUUAUAACAUACAUUCAAAUCCUUUUAACGAUCAAGUUGGGAACUUCUGGAGAAAGUGCCGGACGGUUUAAAGCUUGAGUAUGUUCCUCCUCUGCAUGAGGUAGGCUGGCUACGUUGCAAAUAAAUUAUUUCCUCGAACAAUUCCAUCUGUAUUCAACUAAUUCAAUCUAUACAUCGCAAAGCACGCCACGCCACUGAUUAUGUUAAGAUUAUAUUUUGUUUUUCUUUUAUUAUAUCUUUUCACAGAGGUUUCCGCCUCCAAAGGAGAUUACAUAGGAUGCUUCCAGGAUCAGGUGGAGAACAGACUUUUGAGCGAGACAAAGGAACGAUCGGCCGAACUCACAUCUUUUUGGUGCAUUGAAUUUUGCUCGGAAAAAGGAUAUCCGUUUGCAGGCACUCAAUACAGCUCGGAGUGUUAUUGCGGAUACAACAGACUUCCACUCAUCGCGAAGAGACCGGACUCGGAAUGUUCCAGACCUUGCAGUGGCGACUCAAAACGAGAUGUGGAGGCGAGCUCAGGUUAAGCGUUUAUGAAACCGGUAUCUCAGGUGACUACACUUUUCACGGGUCAUAUUUUUACAUUUUUUUAGACAAAGAAGUUUUCAUUUUAGUUUUAAACCAUGUAGAUAGAUACAAGGAAAUACUUGAAGUAGUUACGUUAUUUAUUUAAAUAAAAUUCCUUCAAAAAAAGAAGUUUUCAUGCGAAUAGGCUAUUUUGUUCGCAGCGACAAGGGUUCCAAUUGUUCAAAUCAUUAGAAGAGGCGCACUUGAAGUCGAGUUUUAAGGGUUGUGUGAGUCGCAUUGAUGGGGAGAGAAAAAUUAGCAUAGGAGGCAAAAUUUCAAAGACUAUCAGUAGAUGCCCUAAAAUUCACCAAAAUUGCUCCAAAAGGGAUCUAAAAGCGUCUGAUAAGAUGAAAAGUCAAGUUACAUACAGCGGUUUUCUUUCAAAGCGGAGUUUUUAGCAACAACAGGGGUAUUUACUUGCUCUGUAAUUAACAUUUCAAGGAAAGACUGAUUCUUUUGAGAAGUUUCACUAACCGUCCGGUUGUUUAAAAAUGAAGUAAUGAGAUAUGUUUGAGUAAACGUGUAAACAAACGCCCCUCCAAACCGCAUAGGGAUAUUAAGCAGCUAUUUCAAUUGAUCUUGUUGAAGAUGUUCAAUGUGUCUCUCAGGGCUGGAUUAAGGGGGGUGGCCACAUGGGCCGCGGCCCAUGGCGGCAAAUUUAGGGGGCGGCAAAUGUUGUAAUUUUUUCAAAUGUAGGUAUCAAGAAAAAAAUCUGAUUCAGAAAAAAAAUCGCAAAUGAGGAAAGGCGAAAAAAUCUCUCAUAUCCUGAGAGUUAAAGCAUAAUUACAAAUUACUUCUAAUUUGUUCGUCUUUCGGUGAUACGAGAGACAGCGCCUUUCAUUAGUCUAGUUGAGAGUUUGAGAGAGAAACCAAACACGCAAUUUGGCCUGGAGCGGCACGGCGCGGCGCAGAGAGCAAUGAUGGCGAAAACUUGAGAUGGAAAGGAGAAGCCCUAUCGGCGCACCGGUCAGCAUGAAACACAUAUUAGCGCCUACAAGACUCUAUGAAUACUUCACGCAUUGCGUCAAACGUAGUGCGGUCAGCAGCGGUUGGCGUGAAGCUCAUAGUGCCUACAAGACUGCAUGAAUACUUCAUGCAUUGCGUCAAAACAGUGAGCGGUCACUUGGUCAGCAGCGGUCAGCGUGAAACGCAUAGCUCCUACAAGACUGUAGGGAUACUUCACGCAUUGCGCCAAACAUACUGCGGUUGGCGCGGUGGCGGAAAUUAAGAUCAUUAGACCACAUUCAUGUUUAUUCUUAUUCAUAAUUUUUUCGUUCUUUUCUUAUAAAUGAAAGACAUCGUACACACAGAGAUAGGUCUACGGAACUUAAUUUUCGAGCAAAGUUCCUGAACUUUUGCUAGUGUUAACAGGGCUUCCACAAAAAUGUGCCAAACGCGAGUAAACGCAACUUAUGUACCCCUCCUCCUCCGGCACGUUCACCUGAUGGUUUCUAUGGAUGUUUCAAAACGAAUGAGAUGGGGCGGCAAAAUAUAGGUGGCCCAUGGGCGGCAAGAAGGUAAAUCCGGCCAUGGUGUCUCUCUGUAUGUUUAUUUUUUUAAUUGUAUAGAGCCAUGCUAUUGGCGUCAUUUGAUGUUAAUUAUUUUUUUUUAUUAAUUUCUUCAAGCCCUUGGAGCGUUUCCCAGUGGUUUUCAUCUUGGCUGUUUUAAGGAAAAUGCAGAGAAGGACAAUCGCAAGUUACUCCCCGACUUGCAUCAACAAUUUGACAAUCUAACACCAAAAAUUUGCUCGGAAUUUUGUUUCAAGAAUGGAUUCAAACUGUCUGGUGUUCAAAAUGGGUAACUAAUUUAUUUCUACAAUGAAGAUACGUUCACACUUAUCAACUUACGAACAAGCGAUAAUUAAGACAUUCCUUAAAAUUUUACAGAAGAAUCGGUGCCUGCGACUAAAAGCUUCCAAAUCAACUCCCAAGUCAAAAAUGAAGACAUCAAGAUUAAAUUUACUUGAGAGUUACAGCUAAGUAUGUUUGAUUAGAUUCAUUUUUUUCCGCACAGAAAGAAAUCUUGAAAUGGGUAACUACACUGAUGUAUACAAAUCUAAAAAAAAAAUUGAUAGUUAUAUACCCGACUGUUAUAACUGAUUUUCAUUAUAAAGUAACACAUUCGAUUAGCAAUUAUGGUAAAAAUUAAUUCUCAUCAUAACCAUGAUGAUUGACCUUUCCGGUCGAUGACGCCUAAAUUAAAUCCCAAUUGCUUUUUUUCCUAUCCACGCGUUUAAGUCUCCAACAGUGGCGUGGCGUGAAUAAUCGAUUAUCGAUAUCUCGCCAUUUGAAGCCAUGGUAAAGAAUCGAUUAUUAAGGUGUUCGCUGCGAACACCCUGUUUAUCGAUCCUUUUCCAUAGGUUUAAAUGGCAUUACAAUCGAUGUAUCGCAAAUCACGCCACGCCACUGUAACUCCAAAAUAGAAAAAACUUACUAUUUAUUUACUUUGAAUUAUUUUACAAGUUUACGCGAAUUAUCAUGAGAAAGGAACGUAACUGCAUUGAGACAUGACCUCUCAAUCAUAUUCAAAAUCUCGAUUAAUUCUGUCCAAUUAUUUGACAAUCAAGUAAAGCAGUCCUUCUUCAUCUUCUGUGUUAUUUUUAUUUUGUCAUAAAAACUUUUGAAUGGUGCGCUUGUUUUUCCAGAGAUGACUGCUUUUGCACGAACAAAAAGUUAGAUAAUUCUGACCACAAGAAAAUUUUAUACCGCACAGGCUGUGAUAUACCGUGUUCUGGAGAUGCCUCACAAAAAUGCGGCGGUGCGCAGGAGCUGAACGUAUACGCGACUGGAUUAACAGGUUGAUGAAUCUACUAAAAUAAAUCGACCAAUGGCGAUUCUUAAAAGUUGGAUAGUCGGAAUGAAAAAAGAAGCAAAUUUUAUUUUUGUAUAAACAGAGACAUAUCUUAAGAAGUUAUCUUUCCUUGAAUCUUAAAUAUUCGUUCCCCUUUCUUGCUGGAUACAUUUUAACAUACAUUCUAAAAUGCUGGAAUACCUACAUAAACGAAAUACUUGCAUACUUUAGCCCAGGGGCGGACUGGUAGUCGUAAAGUUAGGAGGCGACCUAGAUUUGGGGGCCCCUCCUGUCGUUCGGGGGCCCCUCUAAGGAGGCUC